rnacentral:tRNA from 1 species
AUUUAUCUAGUAUAAAGUACAUUUGACUUCCAAUCAAAAAGUCUGAAUCUAAUUUCAGGAUAAAUA